rnacentral:rRNA from 1 species
UACGUAGGGUGCAAGCGUUGUCCGGAAUUAUCGGGCGUAAAGAGCUCGUAGGCGGUCUGUCGCGUCUGCUGUGAAAACUCGGGGCUUAACCCCGGGCCUGCAGUGGGUACGGGCAGACUAGAGUGCGGUAGGGGAGACUGGAAUUCCUGGUGUAGCGGUGAAAUGCGCAGAUAUCAGGAGGAACACCGGUGGCGAAGGCGGGUCUCUGGGCCGUAACUGACGCUGAGGAGCGAAAGCAUGGGGAGCGAACAGG